GACGAACGCUGGCGGCGUGCCUAACACAUGCAAGUCAACUUGACUGAAGGAGCAAUCUGACAGUAGAGUGGCGCAAGGGUGCGUAACGCGUAAGUAACUUGCCCCAAGGUAAGGAAUAACGUCGAGAAAUCGGCGCUAAUACCUCAUAAUGCAGCGGAUCCGCAUGGAUAUGUUGUUAAAGGUUUACCGCCUUGGGAUAGGCUUGCGUCUGAUUAGCUAGUUGGUGUGGUAACGGCACACCAAGGCUACGAUCAGUAACUGGUCUGAGAGGAUGAUCAGUCACACUGGAACUGAGACACGGUCCAGACUCCUACGGGAGACAGCAGUGAGGAAUAUUGGGCAAUGCUCGAAAGAGUGACCCAGCAACGCCGCGUGGAGGAUGAAGGUAUUCUAUAUCGUAAACUCCUGUGAGAGCAGACGAAAGACAGAUUAUAAUCUGGAUGACUGUAUGCUCAGAGGAAGCCCCGGC
rnacentral:rRNA from 1 species